AGCGAAAGCUGGCGGCAGGCCUAACACAUUCAAGUCGAACGAACUCUUCGGAGUUAGUGGCGGACGGGUGAGUAACCCGUGGGAACGUGCCUUUAGGUUCGGACUAACUCAGGGAAACUUGUGCUCAUCCCGAAUGUGCCCUUCUGGGGAAAGAUUUAUCGCCUUUAGAGCGGCCCGCGUCUGAUUAGCUAGUUGGUGAGGUAAAGGCUCACCAAGGCGACGAUAAGUAGCUGGUCUGAGAGGAUGAUCAGCCACAUUGGGACUGAGACACGGCCCAAACUCGUACGGGAGGCAGCAGUGGGGAAUCUUGCGCAAUGGGCGAAAGCCUGACGCAGCCAUGCCGCGUGAAUGAUGAAGGUCUUAGGAGUGUAAAAUUCUUUCACCGGGGACGAUAAUGACGGUACCCGGAGAAGAAGCCCCGGCUAACUUCGUG
rnacentral:rRNA from 1 species